GAUUUAGCUGGCAGCACAUAUACUAAAAUUGGAAUGAUACAGAGAAGAUUAGCAUGGCCCCUGCGCAAGGAUGACAUGCAACUUCAUGAACAAGGGAGGCAUGAG
ensembl:snRNA U6 U6 spliceosomal RNA